rnacentral:misc_RNA from 1 species
GAUAAGAACGCAGCGAAAUGCGAUAAGUAAUGUGAAUUGCAGAAUUCAGUGAAUCAUCGAAUCUUUGAACGCAUCUUGCGCUCCUUGGUAUUCUGAGGAGCAUGCCUGUUUGAGUGUCAUUAAAUUCUCAACCGCACUGACUUUGAAUUGGUGUGGCUUGGAUUUGGGGGGAAAAUUGUUGUGGGCUUUUUUGUAUAGUCUGCUCCCCUGAAAUUGAUUAGCGGUACCUUUGUGGAACUGUCUACAGGUGUGAUAAUUAUCUACAUCCUAGACAUCUGCUGGAAUGCUGCUUUCUAAACCUUACUUGUAUUGACAAUCUUGACCUCAAAUCAGGUAGGACUACCCGCUGAACUUAAGCAUAUCAAUAAGCGGAGGA